rnacentral:rRNA from 1 species
UACAGUGGCAACGGGUGAGUAACGCGUGGGANNAUUGCCCUUCAGAUGGGGACAGGAUCGUNAACGGGGUGCUAAUACCGAAUACGAUUCUCUGGUCGCAUGUACGGAGAAUGANAGGGUGGCCCUCUGAUUCAGCUAUCGCUGAAGGAUGAUCCCGCGUACCAUUAGCUAGUUGGCAGGGUAAUGGCCUACCAAGGCGAUGAUGGGUAGCCGGCCUUAGCGGGUGACCGGNCACAGAGGGACUGAGAUACGGCCCAGACUCCUACGGGAGGCAGCAGGCGAGAGGCUUCCACAAUGGGGGAAACCCUGAUGGAGCGACGCCGCGUGGGUGAAGACGGCCUUCGGGUUGUAAAGCCCUUUCGGCAGGGAAGAAUAGGUGCGGGGUGAAUAAUCCUGCGCCUGGGACUGUACCUGCAUAAGAAGCUCCGGCUAACUCCGUGCCAGCAGCCGCGGUAAUACGGGGGGAGCAAGCGUUGUUCGGAAUUACUGGGCGUAAAGGGCGUCUAGGCGGGCCGAUAAGUCAGAUGUGAAAUCCCACGGUCUUACCGUGGACUUGCAUUUGAUACUGUCGGUCAUGAGAUCGAGAGAGGGUAGCGGAAUUCCUGGUGUA